rnacentral:lncRNA from 1 species
GGCCUGGGAUCAAACUCAUACCUCUUCAGCAACCUAAGCCACUGCAGUCAGGUUCUUAACCCACAGCACCAUGGCAGGAAUUCCAGUUUAUUCUUUUUAAAUCAUGAAACAUAUCAGGCAUCUAAAAAUGUAUAAAAAUAUAAGGAGGACCUAUUUUCCCAUUGCCCAGCUUAAGAAAUAAAGCAUCCUAAUGACAACCGGUCCCUCACUUUACCCCUCCCCACUGAAAGAUGACCAUUGUCUUGAAUUUGGUGUUUAUUACCCCCAUAUAUGCUCUCACUUUAGUUCAGGGUAUUUAUGAAAAAUAGGUGGUAUUGCUUCUCAGAUUUUAGAAUGUCGUAUGAAUGAUGUUGGAAUGUAUCCUUCUGCAACUCUUCUCAGUUCCAUACUCUCUUUGAGAUUUAUUUGUGUUUAUAGAUGCAGCUCUAGUUCAUCAAUUUAACUGCUGUUAUCGUAUUCCAUUCUAUGAAUACACUACAUUUAGGAUUAUUUCGAUUGGUUUCAAGUUUUUACUAAAAUACACUGGGCUGCAGUGAACAUGUUUGUAUUUGGUCCCCUGUGUACUUGUUUAAAUGCUUCUAUAGACAUGUAGAUCUAAUGUGGGGUUGUUGAGUUUUAGAUGGGCGUUGUCAACCUAAUUAGAUACUGUUAAGGAUGCAAUUUAGAGGCAGGACAAUUCACACUCCCAUCAGUAGAGUAUGAGUCUCUCUGGCCUCACAUUCUUUUUUUUUGCUAAAGUGAAGUAUAGUUAUUUCCAAUGUUGUGUUAGCUUCAGGUGUACAUCAAAGUGAUGUACUUUAAAAGAGUGUAUGUGUGUGUGUGUGCACAUAUAUAUGCUCUUUUUCAAAUUCUUAUCCUUUAUAACAUUAAAAAACAUCAAGUAGAAUUCCCUAUGCCAUACAAAAGGUCUUUGUUGGUUAACUUUUUAUACAUAUUGGUGUGUAUAUGUUAAUCCCAAACUUCUAAUUUAUCUUUUCUCUUCCUUUCCACUCUGGUAACCAUAAGUCGGUUUCUAUGUAAGUCCAUCUAUGUUGUAAAUAGGUUCAUUUAUAUCUUUUUUAUAUUCCACAUAUAAGUGAUAUUAUACAGUAUUUUCUUUGUCUGACAUUUCACUUAGCAUGAUAAUCUCUAGGCACAUCCAUGUUGCUGAAAAUGGCAUUAUUUCAUUCUUUUUCAAGGCUUAGCUGUAUUCCAUCGUGUGUGUAUGUGUGUGUAUGUAUACCCUAUCUUCUUUUUUUAUCUUACACAAAUCCUAUUUGAUAAGAGCUCACAGAAUAUUUGAUCAGGUAUAGACUAUGCUGUGUUUUAGUCUAACCCCUAUAGUUAGCACAAAUUCUACACCACAAUCAUGUUUAUAAGGUAAAAAUUGUACAGUAGCUCUGUAUACUAAAACAUUACCAAUGUAAUGUUGAGGAAUCAAAUUAUCAGCUGGCUGACUUUGCUAUUAUGAUGUAUAUUAAUAUCUUUUUUCUAGCAUGCAAUGCCACUUAGAAAAAAUUCACCACUCUUUCAAUAUAUUUUAAUUUCCAGUAUACAUUACUAGCCGGAAAAUUCAUUUAAUUGGCAGUAAGGUGGGAAUUUGGUCCAAAGUGUAAAGACUCAUUUUGAUGAGUUAAGUGAUCAUUAAACGUGCAAUGGUGAACUUUCAAUUGAUAAACUAUUUCUAUUGUUCAGUAAAGAUUAUUAUUGUAGCUAGCCUAACCAUGAGACCUUUUUUCCACUUGAUUAUAAGCAUUUCUUGCCUUCAGACUGGCUAUGGGAUGCAAGAGGUCCAAUAACUCUGCCAAGGGCAUGGCAACCACCUCACCAGCAUCAUCAGACCAGAUAUUAAUGGCUGCUUUGAUGAAGCUUCACCACAAAACUGAACACACUGCUGGAGAUGUGUCCCAACAGAGUCUCUUACACCUUCCUCACUAGCUAACCAGACAUUGGUCAUCAUUGCUUGGCUUUACUUCUUCCUGCAUCAAAUUCAUCACAACCUUGAACACUGAACAGGAUCAAUGUCUUUAGUACAUUAGCUGCAUGUUACUCUGCAGGGAGAGGAAUGUUAUAAAAGGAAGUCAUGUCAUCUUGUUUUUCAACUUCUUUGAGUCUACUCUCAUCUUUUUGAAGUUCGUGAAAUGCCUCUUUCACCAGAUUGUCUAGAUCCACUUUGUCUAAUAAUUCUAGCUCAGGGUUUCUUUCCAGCACAAUGGACACAACCAUUAGUAGCUCCACAAUGGUCUGUCGGUUCUUUGACUGGUCAAUAUUUCCCAACAUGUCUUCUACAAGAGAGAGUUACUCAUCUCGUACAUGGUCAUAUCUGAUAGAGUUGGUUGCUGUGGCAAAUGCUUCCUGGCUGCAAUGAUACCAUUGGGUGUGUGCUCCAGGAUCUGCCGUACUCUGUCAUAGAACCCAGCGGGAGGUCUAUCCACAGAUCCACUGAUCUGACGCCUGUUCAGCCAAGAUCUUUCAUUCUGUUGAGCCAACUUCACUAGGUGACAGCUGAUACAAGUCUCUGGCUGGCUUAUUCCAGCCACUGAUCUGUGGCUCAUACCUCAUAGAGUGGAGAAUGUGACUAAAUAACUUGGGGUUAUUGGAGAUGAUCCAGCCAAUGUGCAUGACCAGCUCUUGCUGAAUGACCACCCACUCAUCAUGGGUGUUACACUUGUAAUUAGAUGAUAUUCUUAAUCACUCUUGGAGACAAAAGAUUAGAGAUAACCUUCAUGCCCAAAGGCAUCCAGAAUUACCUGUUUGCCCUGCACUAAAAAAUUAGUAAUGGAUGGGUCCAGGCUGUCCACUAGCUUACUUAAAAGACUUCCUUAAAAAGCAAAAAAAAAAAAAAAAAAAAAAAA